UAGGUCAUGCAGCAAAACAGUUUGUAGACAAGCACGUCUUACCGGAGGUUCCUCAACAGCCAGGUCAUGGUCUCCAAAUCAAACACACUAGCCUGCAGGUACUGUGGAAAACUGUACCAGAGACCAAAAGCUCUCCGCAAACACGAAGCAUCCGGAAUAUAAUGCUGAAAACAAUCAGGAUUCCACAUCUUCAGCAGAAUCAAGAUCAUCUAUUUAUCAGUACACCCGUCUGUCUCUCAUGCUUGGGCUUCUUCGAAUAAAUCACAACGAUUCCAUUCACAUGGGAGAUGGUGGCAGGCAUGAUGAGACUAGUAAAGUGGUUCUGUUUAUACUACAAGGCAAGCAAAUGUCCAAAGUAUGCAUAUGGUCUCCUUUGAAACACAGGCAAAGGCAUAUGCUCUCCUAUAUGAACGGCAGGCUUUAUAGAUUGAUAUGGAACCGCACAGUCAACCAUCAAGGCAGAGAAGACACCAAUCAUCCCAUCGACCUUGACUUGGAGCAUUGCAACAGGGCUUUCAAAGAUGAUGUACACACAUACAAGGGGAGGUACACAGAUAAAAGACGAUUCUCAAAGUCAGCAGAAGUGCGCUGUCAAUGGAAGAAUUAUGCCAAAAAUACGACAAAUUGGCAUUCCGCAAGAAAUGUUCGGGAAGGCAUGGAGUUGUUGAUCCUUCUUGGUGAUAUUCUUAAACUUGUAGAACAAUUCCAUUCCUAUGCAGCUCUAUUCAAUGAGGCCAACAAGCCACUGCCACAGAGAAAUCAAAAACAUGCUGAGUGACAUCCAAAAUUGGAUUUCAGAAAGUCUUAAAGUCUUCAGUAGCCGCACAUACUAUAACAUCUGAACCUUUUUUCCCGAUGUGUAAUUCAGUGUCACAUGAUUAAAACGAGACCCUGUUGCAAAGUCGCUAUCACUGUAUGUUUCAUGAUCUUCAUGUUCUGAGUCUGAGUGAGAUGAUGAGCUAUCACUCGAGUCAAGGGAAGUUUUGUACAACUCAAGAAUAUCACAUCUACAUUCACUACAUGGGGUAAUUGCAUGUCCAUGAGUCUCUGCAGUCACAGAGACACUUGCAAGAUAUGGCACAGUUGUCCAUAGCACUCAUGACUUCAGUAAAGCUCAACUCGUCGACAUACGUUGGUUCUGACAUACUGUUUCAUUUCAUCCGAAAUAUUCCGCCUGCCACUGAGACAUCGUCUAAAUUUCAUGAGAAGAGCAUGUGCCUGCUUUUCUGGAUCCCUGCCUGCUCCGUCCUUGUCUCUUGAAUAUAAUCCUCAACAUUAUUGGCUGGACCAUAGUGGAUGACGGUUUCCACACUUUCUUAGCAUUGUGUAUACACAACGUAAUUAACGGAUUCUGACAUCAGCCACAUAUCUCGGACCACCCCACGAGUCUCUCUUAACCGUUCAAUUAACGUUCCGCUUGGUGUUGCCACACCUGUCCGCCAUCUGCUGUUGAGAUACUGUAACGGUUCUCGUCUGAAAAGAGGACUUCUCCCACUGCUGGUGCUGUGCUACCCACUGAAGACGGUCCAGGAAACAAAGAAGAAGACUGAAAGGAUACCACUGGGAGUGCUUCAGUGAGGACCUCAGUGACCGUUCUCCAUCACAGUAGGUGCUCAGCGGAGGGGACUACCUCACCCUUGAGAGGCAGAAACAAGCCAAUCAUGCACUUACGAGAUGGACCUACACCAAGUUCCAGAUUACAAGGACUUGUUCCAAAGAUGGAAGAGUUCCAUAACGAAGCUGAAUUUCUAAAGGUUAUAUGGAAACACUUGUACUCGUCCUCCUCUAACAAGUCUGUUUGGCACUCUGCAUGCUGCAAAGGAGCACAAUAAAUGCGGUGAAUGUUACUCAGGAUCCUCAUGACAACUUUUACCCAUGCUCUGAAUUCAUGGACAAGGUCACCACCGCCUACAUCGUAACUCGGGGACUACAUUACUUCCAAAUGGAACACCUCACUUCUGUCCCAACGUCAAGUUACAUGGGUGCUGUUGGCAAUCCAUAUAAAAUGAUUGAUUAUUUUCUAGGUCAUGCAGCAAAACAGUUUGUAGACAAGCACGUCUUACCGGAGGUUCCUCAACAGCCAGGUCAUGGUCUCCAAAUCAAACACACUAGCCUGCAGGUACUGUGGAAAACUGUACCAGAGACCAAAAGCUCUCCGCAAACACGAAGCAUCCGGAAUAUAAUGCUGAAAACAAUCAGGAUUCCACAUCUUCAGCAGAAUCAAGAUCAUCUAUUUAUCAGUACACCCGUCUGUCUCUCAUGCUUGGGCUUCUUCGAAUAAAUCACAACGAUUCCAUUCACAUGGGAGAUGGUGGCAGGCAUGAUGAGACUAGUAAAGUGGUUCUGUUUAUACUACAAGGCAAGCAAAUGUCCAAAGUAUGCAUAUGGUCUCCUUUGAAACACAGGCAAAGGCAUAUGCUCUCCUAUAUGAACGGCAGGCUUUAUAGAUUGAUAUGGAACCGCACAGUCAACCAUCAAGGCAGAGAAGACACCAAUCAUCCCAUCGACCUUGACUUGGAGCAUUGCAACAGGGCUUUCAAAGAUGAUGUACACACAUACAAGGGGAGGUACACAGAUAAAAGACGAUUCUCAAAGUCAGCAGAAGUGCGCUGUCAAUGGAAGAAUUAUGCCAAAAAUACGACAAAUUGGCAUUCCGCAAGAAAUGUUCGGGAAGGCAUGGAGUUGUUGAUCCUUCUUGGUGAUAUUCUUAAACUUGUAGAACAAUUCCAUUCCUAUGCAGCUCAAUUCAAUGAGGCCAACAAGCCACUGCCACAGAGAAAUCAAAAACAUGCUGAGUGACAUCCAAAAUUGGAUUUCAGAAAGUCUUAAAGUCUUCAGUAGCCGCACAUACUAUAACAUCUGAACCUUUUUUCCCGAUGUGUAAUUCAGUGUCACAUGAUUAAAACGAGACCCUGUUGCAAAGUCGCUAUCACUGUAUGUUUCAUGAUCUUCAUGUUCUGAGUCUGAGUGAGAUGAUGAGCUAUCACUCGAGUCAAGGGAAGUUUUGUACAACUCAAGAAUAUCACAUCUACAUUCACUACAUGGGGUAAUUGCAUGUCCAUGAGUCUCUGCAGUCACAGAGACACUUGCAAGAUAUGGCACAGUUGUCCAUAGCACUCAUGACUUCAGUAAAGCUCAACUCGUCGACAUACGUUGGUUCUGACAUACUGUUUCAUUUCAUCCGAAAUAUUCCGCCUGCCACUGAGACAUCGUCUAAAUUUCAUGAGAAGAGCAUGUGCCUGCUUUUCUGGAUCCCUGCCUGCUCCGUCCUUGUCUCUUGAAUAUAAUCCUCAACAUUAUUGGCUGGACCAUAGUGGAUGACGGUUUCCACACUUUCUUAGCAUUGUGUAUACACAACGUAAUUAACGGAUUCUGACAUCAGCCACAUAUCUCGGACCACCCCACGAGUCUCUCUUAACCGUUCAAUUAACGUUCCGCUUGGUGUUGCCACACCUGUCCGCCAUCUGCUGUUGAGAUACUGUAACGGUUCUCGUCUGAAAAGAGGACUUCCCCCACUGCUGGUGCUGUGCUACCCACUGAAGACGGUCCAGGAAACAAAGAAGAAGACUGAAAGGAUACCACUGGGAGUGCUUCAGUGAGGACCUCAGUGACCGUUCUCCAUCACAGUAGGUGCUCAGCGGAGGGGACUACCUCACCCUUGAGAGGCAGAAACAAGCCAAUCAUGCACUUACGAGAUGGACCUACACCAAGUUCCAGAUUACAAGGACUUGUUCCAAAGAUGGAAGAGUUCCAUAACGAAGCUGAAUUUCUAAAGGUUAUAUGGAAACACUUGUACUCGUCCUCCUCUAACAAGUCUGUUUGGCACUCUGCAUGCUGCAAAGGAGCACAAUAAAUGCGGUGAAUGUUACUCAGGAUCCUCAUGACAACUUUUACCCAUGCUCUGAAUUCAUGGACAAGGUCACCACCGCCUACAUCGUAACUGGGGGACUACAUUACUUCCAAAUGGAACACCUCACUUCUGUCCCAACGUCAAGUUACAUGGGUGCUGUUGGCAAUCCAUAUAAAAUGAUUGAUUAUUUUCUAGGUCAUGCAGCAAAACAGUUUGUAGACAAGCACGUCUUACCGGAGGUUCCUCAACAGCCAGGUCAUGGUCUCCAAAUCAAACACACUAGCCUGCAGGUACUGUGGAAAACUGUACCAGAGACCAAAAGCUCUCCGCAAACACGAAGCAUCCGGAAUAUAAUGCUGAAAACAAUCAGGAUUCCACAUCUUCAGCAGAAUCAAGAUCAUCUAUUUAUCAGUACACCCGUCUGUCUCUCAUGCUUGGGCUUCUUCGAAUAAAUCACAACGAUUCCAUUCACAUGGGAGAUGGUGGCAGGCAUGAUGAGACUAGUAAAGUGGUUCUGUUUAUACUACAAGGCAAGCAAAUGUCCAAAGUAUGCAUAUGGUCUCCUUUGAAACACAGGCAAAGGCAUAUGCUCUCCUAUAUGAACGGCAGGCUUUAUAGAUUGAUAUGGAACCGCACAGUCAACCAUCAAGGCAGAGAAGACACCAAUCAUCCCAUCGACCUUGACUUGGAGCAUUGCAACAGGGCUUUCAAAGAUGAUGUACACACAUACAAGGGGAGGUACACAGAUAAAAGACGAUUCUCAAAGUCAGCAGAAGUGCGCUGUCAAUGGAAGAAUUAUGCCAAAAAUACGACAAAUUGGCAUUCCGCAAGAAAUGUUCGGGAAGGCAUGGAGUUGUUGAUCCUUCUUGGUGAUAUUCUUAAACUUGUAGAACAAUUCCAUUCCUAUGCAGCUCUAUUCAAUGAGGCCAACAAGCCACUGCCACAGAGAAAUCAAAAACAUGCUGAGUGACAUCCAAAAUUGGAUUUCAGAAAGUCUUAAAGUCUUCAGUAGCCGCACAUACUAUAACAUCUGAACCUUUUUUCCCGAUGUGUAAUUCAGUGUCACAUGAUUAAAACGAGACCCUGUUGCAAAGUCGCUAUCACUGUAUGUUUCAUGAUCUUCAUGUUCUGAGUCUGAGUGAGAUGAUGAGCUAUCACUCGAGUCAAGGGAAGUUUUGUACAACUCAAGAAUAUCACAUCUACAUUCACUACAUGGGGUAAUUGCAUGUCCAUGAGUCUCUGCAGUCACAGAGACACUUGCAAGAUAUGGCACAGUUGUCCAUAGCACUCAUGACUUCAGUAAAGCUCAACUCGUCGACAUACGUUGGUUCUGACAUACUGUUUCAUUUCAUCCGAAAUAUUCCGCCUGCCACUGAGACAUCGUCUAAAUUUCAUGAGAAGAGCAUGUGCCUGCUUUUCUGGAUCCCUGCCUGCUCCGUCCUUGUCUCUUGAAUAUAAUCCUCAACAUUAUUGGCUGGACCAUAGUGGAUGACGGUUUCCACACUUUCUUAGCAUUGUGUAUACACAACGUAAUUAACGGAUUCUGACAUCAGCCACAUAUCUCGGACCACCCCACGAGUCUCUCUUAACCGUUCAAUUAACGUUCCGCUUGGUGUUGCCACACCUGUCCGCCAUCUGCUGUUGAGAUACUGUAACGGUUCUCGUCUGAAAAGAGGACUUCUCCCACUGCUGGUGCUGUGCUACCCACUGAAGACGGUCCAGGAAACAAAGAAGAAGACUGAAAGGAUACCACUGGGAGUGCUUCAGUGAGGACCUCAGUGACCGUUCUCCAUCACAGUAGGUGCUCAGCGGAGGGGACUACCUCACCCUUGAGAGGCAGAAACAAGCCAAUCAUGCACUUACGAGAUGGACCUACACCAAGUUCCAGAUUACAAGGACUUGUUCCAAAGAUGGAAGAGUUCCAUAACGAAGCUGAAUUUCUAAAGGUUAUAUGGAAACACUUGUACUCGUCCUCCUCUAACAAGUCUGUUUGGCACUCUGCAUGCUGCAAAGGAGCACAAUAAAUGCGGUGAAUGUUACUCAGGAUCCUCAUGACAACUUUUACCCAUGCUCUGAAUUCAUGGACAAGGUCACCACCGCCUACAUCGUAACUCGGGGACUACAUUACUUCCAAAUGGAACACCUCACUUCUGUCCCAACGUCAAGUUACAUGGGUGCUGUUGGCAAUCCAUAUAAAAUGAUUGAUUAUUUUCUAGGUCAUGCAGCAAAACAGUUUGUAGACAAGCACGUCUUACCGGAGGUUCCUCAACAGCCAGGUCAUGGUCUCCAAAUCAAACACACUAGCCUGCAGGUACUGUGGAAAACUGUACCAGAGACCAAAAGCUCUCCGCAAAC